UGUAGACACGCAAAUUCUGCUCCUGGCGUUGAUCGUCAGUAGAAGAGCGUAGCUUAGGUGGGGUUCUGUCUGCCUCUGAUGGGGUGCGGAUGUGUGGUUCGUCACUGGUGAAUGGUGUUCGACGAUGCAGGUGGAUUUUGUGACGAGCGGAUUUACAAUGAGGGAAUGUAGUGUACGUGUCCGAUGAUAGUGAGCGUCUUUUCACUCUGUUCAAGUGUUCGUUUUCCUCUGUUGCCCAACAGUCGUGCGAAUUUGUCCUGACGUGUCCUGACAUGCCCCGAUAUGCAUGGUUUCCUUUGUUAACGCUUUGUAUUUUGUCUUUUUUGACAAGGAACAUUGUCGUCUUGACGAUAGUGCUGCCCUGAGUUCUGCGCGCGUUGAUUUGUUGAGUGCCUAGUCCUCUUAUUAGCCGUUGAUGGGGUUACAUGUUGGGAUAUUUUGUUCUUUUGCAAGUCUCAUUUAGUAAGACUUUGGAAUUCCUACGAUCAGCUUUCAUGCAUGGUGCUCUUCUGCAAUAGUUUCCUAUGCAAUCGUUAUAGAAGAGUAAAGGAAAUAACCUUGGGAUAGUGAUUCAAUAAAUAAUAGGUCCCCUGUCUAGAGCGCACGCGUCCUUGAGCCACGCAGGUGCAUGAGGACGUCAUACCGUGGCUUCAUUGUAGAUUGACCAAAGGAGCAUUAGUGGAAAAAAACAGUGUAGCCCUGAGACAAUAGGAUGAUGUCUGGACCAAUGAGAACGGCCAGCAGGGGGCGCAGGAAUGCUCUUCUCUCUUAGCCUCUCGCAGGUGGCGGUAGGAGCGCGCAGAGGGCGCUAUGAGCGCGCGCAUGCGUAGCACCCGUAGAGUGGCGUUUACGUCAGUUCACCUCUGGCUCUCGUUGGGAGAAGACGUGCGGUCGUUCGCUCCGUCGUCACUUGAUCCCUGGCUGUCGACGAGUGCGGACGCUCCGUCGCAGCGGGGAAAAAGAGCUACGAUGCUGGCGCCAUCUGGUGUGAUGCCUUGGAACUAGCGUGCCACCUGCCUCUGCAACCGUCGUGCUCCAGUCGCCCCGGCGUGAUUUCUUCAAGAUGGCGUCGUUGAUUUUCAAAUAAAUCAUUUCCUACUGUCUG